UCGGGGUGAGUGAGCGCCCUCUCCUCGCGCGCCGUGUGCGCGUCGCGGGGAAGGACGAUAGGUCAUGUCCUCGACAGCCCCUCACCCUUUCCGCACGCCCGCACGCCGCAUCCCCUCCCUCCUCGAUCUCUCUCCCUCAUCAGCCGCCAAAGCAACAAACCCUAGCCCACUUUCUCCACGGUUCCCCAUGGUCGUCGUGCCUCUCACUCCUCCCUCCUGCCUCAUCCUCCUUCCCUCCUUAGAUGCCAUGGUGGCAGCCGGGCCAGGGCAGGGGAAGAAAGCCGUGGGGAGUCCGCCGGCAGGAGGAAGUAGUAGAGGCUGGUGGAGUGACGGAUGCCGAGGGCCUCGUCCAGGCGGCCGCCGCCGGCCUCAGACCCGCCGCCUCCCGCCAUGACGAGCUGUCCCGCGCCGUGCGCGCGGUCGACAAGGAUCUCCGGGGCGCCGCCGCCGGCCAGGAGGAGAACGAGAUGGAACGCCAACAUUCGCUUGGCCGAGGCUUGCUUGGGGAGCCGUCGACAAGCCGGCGGGGUGAGCUACUGUCUGGUCCCCUGUUGCCGGCGACUGUGGUGUCGAGCAAGAGCGGGUCGUGUCAUCAUGGGAAGAGGCUCAAUGGCUCACCAUCGAAGAGCCAUCGUAGGAGCCACAAUGUCAAAAAAGCUACAGACGGGAGGAGGUCGGGAUGGAACUACCUCUUCCCCAUGUGAGCUCUCUCUUCUAGCUCCCGCUCCACCUCUCCUCAUGCUCCCUCUCCCCCCUGCCCUCCUCUGUUAGGUGAUUCAUCCUCUUCUUUUCCUUUCAGAGAGAUGAUGAGGUCUAGCUAGGUAUCUCCUAGGGGGAUUUUUAUUUCUUUUUUUCUACCUGAUGCUCACAUCUAGCUAGGCUUCUCUGGAGGAAUUUUUUUUGUUUCGUUGAUUUUGUUGCGUACCUCACAUAUGUUCCUGCAAAGGGGAUUCUGUCUCUUCCUAUUUAGAAGAUGCUCUCGGAUCUAGCUAGAUUACUAGAAGGCUUUUUGUUGUCUUUUUGGCUGUUUGGCACCUGGCUUUUUCCUCAUCGAGAAGGGGGGCGGAUUUGUCCUAGAGCUGCUUUCUUUACAUAUGAGGCUUUUGUUCGUUUGCCUAAUGUGUUACCCUCCUUUCAAUUGUAGGACUUUCAGGAUAGACCUUCCUAUCAAUUUUUAUUCGAUAAACUUAACAUAUCUCAUGGAAAUUCUGGUAUGAGAUGUGUUUUUUGCAGUGGCUGUUCUUGCAUAUUUGUGCGUUGUAGCAGAUUUAGUGACAAAAACAUUUUUAAGUCCUGGAGCAUCAGUAUAUUUAAAUUUAUUUUCCUUUUGCCCAUUUUGUUUGAUGUAUUUUGUCAAGAGGAAUUGAUUCUGUACUUGAUAUGCGAGGAGCUCAUGAGUUCGUGUCGCUGCUGUACGUCGUCUCUCCCUCCUCCCGGCUCUCAACAGGAGCAGUGCAGACCCUCCACAACUGAGGAUACCUAGAACGGUGAGACUAUAUGGACAAAGUAAUACAAAAUUCAGAUUUUAGAGCAUCAUGCCAUUGUUUAAUCUACUUCUGUAGCAAAUAUCUUCGUGAGACUGUAUGGACAAAGUAACAGAAACUUCACACUUUUGAUCAUGUGAAUUGAUUGAGAAUCUAUUGUCCUUGUAUUACUACUUUUCUGCUGUUUGGACUGUAAUAGAUUCGUCUAGAGCAUUCAGGUUUCCAGUAUUCGAAGUACAUUACAUGAUUCGGUCCUAUUUAGCUUGAUAUCCUAUAAUACAACAAAGGUUGAAGCGUAGGUUUCUUUACCUGUACCUACGAUGGUCCUGUCUGUUAUCAGCUUAAACUGUAAUUUGCAUUAGCAGACAGACAAUGGAUGUUACGGGUUCAUAACUUUUUGUUAUAUUUGAAUCGGUAUAUUAGGUUAAGGGUUGCUAAAUUGAAAAACAUGUGGACGGAAUUUCACUUUUUCGUGUAAGAAGGAUUAGUGAACCUCCAUGUAGAACAAUAUUCAACCAAAAGGCAUGCCAAUUUGGUGUCACAAUAUGUUUUUAUUUUUCUUCUUAGUCAAGCAUUCCGGCAUGUCAAUUUAAUUUUCUCUUUCUUUGCUUCUGCAGUACGGUCCUACUCUUGACAUUGAUUUGAAAAAAUGAUAUGUGCGGAUCUUAGGAAGAACAUAUAAAGUUAAAUUUGGUGGUGUUGCUUCUGUGAGUGACUCAAUCUGAUAUGUCUAAUUCUGGCUUUAUGCGGUACCAUGAUCUUAAAAUUUGUUACUAAAGAUACAUGAUGUUUAUGCUCUAUUAGAUUGUUUUAUUCCUUUGUAAUUUGGAUCUAAAGUAUAGUUUCAGAAUGUGGUUGUUUUGCAUCUGUCAAGCUUGCCGCUGUUACUUAUAACCGUCCUUUUGUCCUUGAUUGUUACUUUCUCAAAUUUUUUGUUCCCAAGUUUGUCGUUGUGGUUGCGGAAUGGCGCACAGCAACUGGGAAGCGGACUAAAGCCAUGGCACUAGUGGUAGCUCUUCGAUGGAGCGCCUCCUGCCAUGAAGGCACAACCAGCGGCUCCCCACGAUACACAACACCGGGAUGAUGAGGUAUGCCAUGGAAUGGUUGGGUUUUGAGUGGUAGGUGAUCCCUAUGCCGGCUGUGAUAGCGGCCAUCAUUGGUAUACAACAAUGCAGCGAUUGUCUCGGGUGUGCUCCUAUCCUCCCCACUUCCCCUAGAUGCACAAUGUUAGGAAAACUAAUGAUUUUGUUCUCGGAUGUUCAUACAUAAUCUAGGUUGUUAUUGAGCUCCACGGCUGGCCUUAGAUUGGCUAUUCAGCAUCGGCACACUUUACUCAAAUCUAUACCAUAGGAACCUGUGCUCCAGUCUGACGAAGCAGCCAAGCUGUAUAUACACAUCUUUGCUUCCUGAUCCAUUUUGUUUUGCGAUUCAGGCCACCCCUAAUGGUCAGGCUGAUGCUUCUUCGCUUGAUUCUGAAGAAAAGGAUGAUCAGAUUCAGAUCCCCAAGAACAAUAGGUGAUGCAUCUUCUCUUGUAUCUUUAUCUGUGUACUUUAAAUUCACAUGGACAGUCAAAUUGUCUGUAUAUACACACCUUGAAAUUAAGAAACUUUGGUGGUGCAAAGGGAGUUGGGACAGGGAAGAAAUUAAAGCAGUGACUGCUCUGCACUAGCUGUACAGGGAUUAAAAGCCUAUAGGUAUAGCAAUAAAUUCCCUUCUGAUGUUCAAGUUAAAUUUCUUUGUUGAAGAUAUAGCUGGAAGUUAUGUUCUGAAUUUGAUUCUUUAAACUACAGGCUAUUUUGUGUAUUAAUCUCUUCAUUUUUUUCCUACUACACUUGCCUAAAUUGAGAUAAGCUGGCACAAAAGAUUGGAUCUUUGUAGUGCGUCUGCUCAUCAGUAGAGAUUACAUAGUAGGUAGUAGGGACACCAUAAUAUACUAUCUUCUUAAUUUAGUAUUUUCUUUUAGAACAUAUAAGUACAUUCAGUAAUAUGUGUCUUGUUUUACUUUGUCCGCGGUGACUGGAAGUAUUCUCGGCUUUACCAUCAGUAAAAAGAAGGCAUACAAAAAAUUAAGUUUUUUCCUUAGUUGCCUCAUUUAAUUGUCGCUUAUUUAUUUCAAGUUAUUCAAUUCUUAUGGAGCUUUCCUUUGCUAAAGAAGAAAAGAGGGGUUGUCAGGUCAGACUUUGGUGCGUCUCUGACUAGAGAUAGCUGGAUCCGUGUGACGCUCUCCCAAAUAGUGCAGAUUCACUGACUGGUACAACCUCUAUACCUUUGCUACUCUAGCUUCUUUUUACAUUUCUUAGUAUCAACAAAAUAAGUUGGCCCCAGUAUAUACUUGAAGAUUGCAUCUGGUACAAAAUUGUUGGCUGACUAAAAUAAUUAGGUAUACUGCUCAUCUAUCUUUUAGAAAUAGAUAAUGGUAAUUUUUUCUAACGUUGGCCCACCCGGUUAUUUGAGUUGUGUCUAUGAAGGGUCCGUAGAGUAGUUGCUUUGAAAAAACCAGGAGUACCAAUUUGGUUGCCAUGCGAUUGUAAGGCCAGAAUGGUGGUACUGAAAAGUGGUCUGUAAUGGUCAUCUGUGUUCUAGAGUUGGAACUUUGAUUCUUUUGAAGCUGGAGUAGCUAGGUUGUCUAUACAUACAUGCCACCCACUAAAUUCAGAUUUCAGUAUACUGUUUAGAAUACCACUUGCUUUCACUAUAAGUACUGGACUACUAUGAGUGUCGUCGCCUUCGUCGAUGAGAGGACGAGAGCGGCAAUAGCACUAGCCAGCGAGGCAGGCUGCUUGGCUCUGGGGCCGACACACACUGUCCACUUCCGUUGGGCUGAUCUGCCACUUCAAAAACUUAUGGUGGCCAUAAGAAAUCUCAAGAGCUUAUUGUGAUGAUUUAAAUGUAAGCAGUUUCCCUCGUUGUGCUUCUGUGCUUCUAUGUCUUUCGUGGUCUAUUCUUAGUGUAUGGAAUGGUUAUAUUAGCCCUGUAGUUUACUUUAACUUUUGAAUCUUGAUGCAUCGAAAAUAGUUGUAAACUGAGACCUUAUUUCUGUGGGUGAAAGAAUAGAUGCACACUGGCUCUUGUUGUUUUUGAUUAUUGAAAGAUACACAUUUUGGUUUGCAUUAAUGGUGGUUAAAGUAUAAAAAUGGUAGUAAAACCAACAUCCAACUUUCUACAUCUAAAAUUUUGGAUUGUCGUGCCAAAAAUAAACAGUAAAGAAGGAUAAAUCUCCUUCAAUAUUCAGUUGGUACGCAGCUGCAGCUUCUAUGUCAUAUUUGGAAGCUACUCUAUGUGAUUUUUUGUGUAGUUCGUGAUCAAAUGAAGAUAGAAUUUUUAUGAAUAUAACAUGUGCAACAUGCUACUAACCGAGUCAAGUUUGUUUGAAUUUGUUCACUUUGUAGUCAGUGGAAAUAUGGAUGUCUUAUGCACUUUUCCUGCGAAAGAUGAACUUCAUGUUGCUUGCUAUGAAGAAAUGAGGUGUUUGCCUGGUUGUAAAUUUCAUGCUGAUGUUAUUGUAAUUAUGUUAUGUUCUCUAAAGAAACAUGGGGUCGGAUCCAAUAGGUUAAGAAAAAGAGCAUUGUUCAGCUACGACAAUAGUCAAUGAAGAGCUAAUCGAAGACAUUUCCUGAU